CUGUCGGGCCGUGGCGUAAGGUCUCCAUGUCUGCACCUGAGCCUGACUAAAAAUACCUCCCACCUGCCGAGCCAGCCUCUAAGCCUUGCUCCCGACUGCUCCCCCACCCCCAUGCCUCUACCCCGGGCCCUGUGCUGGACUCAGUCCUCUGGUCCAGCCCCCUCCAUUCCAGCCACAACACCCCCCGCAGUCCCAAGGGCUUUUCCUGUAGCUGAACACAUUCCCGGUGGGCCUUCUGGAGGAGGAGCCCCUGCCUGUGUCCCUGGGCCCACAGGACGCUCUCUGCACUGGAAGGACUUCGGAAGGUCGGGUUUGCAGGGAUGGAUCCCGAUGAGGGCUGAGGAGGCUGUGACAGGAUUCAGCAACACCGUGUGUGUCCCGCCAUUUCGCCCGUGCCGGACAGGCUGUUGCACUGCACAGAAGACCAGCACUCCAGCUCCUGGGCCACCCCCCAAGCAGCAAAAGAGCCGCCACUUCGAGCAAAAGAACUCCUAUCUGCUGAGGCUAUUUAUGCCCUGAUGAAAAUAAAAGAGCCUGGCCUCUCCCCAGUUUCUAAAAUUAUCCUCACAGACUGAGUGCCACAAGAGGCCUGUCCUUGGCAGGUGUGUCCUGCAAUGAAGAUGAGUCUGGGGUCCCUGCAGGCCUGGGGCCCGCUACUCUCCCUCCCAGACUUGCCCUGCCACCACCCAGCAGGAAGUGGGUGGCAACCUGGCAGUCAUUUCCGGGUUUUUUGUUUUUGUUUUGGUACUGGGAUCGAACUCGGGACCUUUCGAGGCAGGCGGCAGAAGCACUGAGCUAAAUCCUCAGCCCCAUUUCCGUGUUUUGAAAGCAGUUUUCAAACUUGAAGGAGGCCCACUAAGAAGGACUGCUUUCCCUCUGUUGGUGUGGGUAAUGGCUACCUCCCAAACACACAGCCCUCACUACAGCCCUCAGCCAGAUCCACACACAGGCACACCCAACCCGCACUUGAGCACACACAAGCUUGCACACACCCGCAUUCCCCCCCCACCAGACACACCCAUACCCAGACCCAAACACAUAGAAACACCCACACCCCAAAGGUCCACAUAGCUCCCACACAGCAAGACGCACCCACACCGACAUGCACAGAUGGGUCACUCCCUCACCCCUCAGCCAUGCAUACCCCACGCACAAGUCCACAGCCUUGUACAGCAGCACACAGACCCACACACCGAUACUUCCUGUCUAUGCUGCACACAGCGGCACACUGACCAACACCUACACAGACACACACACACACACCUCUUCCACACCAGUAUCCCAUAGACUCCUCUCCAUGGGCACACACACACACACACACACACACACACACUUUUAAGUCCAGCCUGCUGUCAGGAGAGGUGGGAGAAGGGAUCAGCGAUUUCUUGCUCCGGGCGCCACUUGGCCCUCCCUCUUUUCCUCUGUCCCUCCCUGCCCUGGCCAACGACAACAGGCUGGAACUGCCCUUGGUGGCUACAGCUUUGUCUAUUCCCUGGAAGAGCGGACAAGAAAUAGUAAAAUGCAAUGAAAUGAGGUAGCAGCAAGGAAAGAAGCUGUGAGUCCCUGUUGGGAGCUAAGCCUGACUGGCCUCUGCCCAGCAGCUGAUCAGCUUCUGAGGCUGUGCAGGGACCCAACUUCUGGUUUCAAGAAAAUUGGGUAAGAGUCACAUCUGUCCUCACUUAUCACCACAAACAGAACCCAUGGGUAGCUAGCGGGUGCCUGCAUUUCCCUUCCCAGGUUCAGUGGGCUCCCUCCUUGUACAUGUCCACUCUGGGGUUUUCCUGAGAUCCCAGGCAGAUUUUAACAGUGAGCAUCCUAGUGCUGUCUUUCCUGCAUCCGAGGCAUGCCAGGCCUGGCUCUCUGGUCUGGGUCCUGAGCCGCUGCAGGGCUUACAAUCCUUUAUUUCCACUGGCUAUUGCAGGGCAUUGGCCUUCUCAGUUGUUUGUGAGUGUAUGUAAAUUUCUGUGUUCUUUCUUUUACACACUCAGUAGUAGAUUCAGGCAUACACACAUCUUUUAUCUAAAAUAAUUUAGAAUGUAAUGCAUCCUGACUGGGCUGCUUAAAAAAACAUGUUGGCCUUCACACAGGCAGUGGAAAUGCCACUGGGGAGACCACGAUUACAUUCUGGGCUGGCAUGGAAGAAUUGCUUCUUGAGCUGGGCAUUCUUGUGCAGGGCUGUAAAUCCUAGCACACUGGGAGGCUGAGGCAGGAAGAUUGCAAGUCUGAACCCAGCCCAGACAAUUUUGUGACUUCGAGAUCCUGUCUCAAAAUAAAAAAAUUAAAAAGGGCUGAGUCAAUGUGAAGGCUGUGGGUUUAAUCCCCAGUGCUGAAAACUCAGUCUUAGAGCCAGUGAGUUUUAGUUUCACUCCCCAGCCCCUGAUGAGAGCCCUUACUUGCAAGUUUUAUUUCUAUUCUCUGAUUUUACAAGAAAACUGUCCUAAGGGUGAUGCAGUACUGAGAGCUGAGUCUGCCGUUAAUUCCAGCCCAGGGAGAAGCACAAUGACCUGGUUGCCUCCAUUGAUCAGCUGCAGGAGGAAAUUUCUGAAUGGUCCCUCUAGCUUUCCAUGCUCCACUGAGUUUGAAAUACACACUUCAGAUCCUAGCAGUUGAGCUCUGAAACAGAGCAAGUCUUAAAAAUGAAUGUGGCUUACCCCAUAAAGGAGUCUAACAUUCCAGCUGAUCAAAAGUACUUGUUUAGAAAAAUAAGUUUGGGAAUGAAGUGGAAACAAGGCCUUUGAAAUGCAGUUUGGCCUAAACAGCACCAUAUUUUAGACGUUUCCUUCCCAUUGCACAUUCUUUAUGGUGGAGAUGCCAGGGAGCCCGAGGGGUCUUCACCCCGCCCCCAGCCCUCCUUGGCCUCGGGCUUCGCCUCCCUCCCUCACCACAGAGGCCCAGCAUCUGGGAAAACUUCGAAACUGCUCCCAAGCCCCUUUGGCAGGCCCAGCCCAGCACCAAAAUGCUCCAGUGAACACCAGCGCCAUCUCCACUAACGCGAAACAGCUGCCUGGCCCUGAGCAGUCACCAGCCACCCGCACCCCUCCUGGCUCAGCUGUGAGUCACACAAGACCCUGGCUAAUGCAGAGCCCUUGAGAGGGGACCCAAGGAUUGGCUGAUAGAGCCCAGCUGUUGUCGAUAAGAAAGCAAACUAUUGCUAAACGUCUUACCUCCUUUGGAAAGAGGAUGAUUGUGUGCAUGUGGGGGUGGGGAAUGAAGGAAACGUGCAUUGAUUUAUGAAUCAGAUUUUGUUUUUAAAGUGAAAAGGAAAACAGCAGAGUCACCACAGUAAGUUUGUUCAACUGUUUUGAGAACCGUAAGAAAAUCUAUACUUUUUUGAGCAAUGGAUUGAAUCUACUUUCUGGCCUAAGGAGCCAGACACUAAUUCCUUUUGCAUAAAUAACUGGUGUGUGCUCAUCCCCAGAGGAAGCUGUCUGUAUAAACAAACAUCACCCAGAUAGAAAUUUUACCUUCUUAAUCUUCCUUCCCCCUUCGUUUUGAAACAAGGACUGGCUUUCCAAAGUCCUGGUAAAACCCAUUGUCCAAGGCCCAAACCUUCACCUCCAGCUCAGCCCUCCUAGGCCCCCCCAGGAAGCAGCGUAAAGAAUGGGACUCAGCUGCCACCGCGGCCACGUGAUCCACCAGGGUGACUCUCAGGCUGGCCACACCCCUAGAGGUCUCCCGCCAGCAGCCAGCCAGCCAACACUGGGUCGCAUCUUAUUACCAAUGGGAACAGCUAAUGCCCUUGACAGUCCAAAGAAUCACACUUUCUUUCAGCUAAAAGAACCUGCUACCAAGUAAAUUCGGGCUGGGCAUCUUCUCCCCACCCUCCAAGGCCAUAAGAAGCCGGGAGCCUAGACAUCUUGAUUGGAAAAAAAAAAAAACCAAACUACUUUUACACAUCAUUUUUUUUUUUCUUCCCAAAAAGUUUUAUUGGGGGAAAACUACAAAACAUUUACAGUACAAUGUUUACAGUCACAAUUUGUAGUGAACUGAUUCCCCAAAAUAUAUUACAACUCAAGUUG